GACGAACGCUGGCGGCGUGCCUAAUACAUGCCAGUAGAACGCUGAAGAGAGGAGCUUGCUCUUCUUGGAUGAGUUGCGAACGGGUGAGUAACGCGUAGGUAACCUGCCUGGUAGCGGGGGAUAACUAUUGGAAACGAUAGCUAAUACCGCAUAAAAUGGAUUAUCGCAUGAUAAUCCAAUGAAAGGUGCAAAUGCAUCACUACCAGAUGGACCUGCGUUGUAUUAGCUAGUUGGUGGGGUAACGGCUCACCAAGGCGACGAUACAUAGCCGACCUGAGAGGGUGAUCGGCCACACUGGGACUGAGACACGGCCCAGACUCCUACGGGAGGCAGCAGUAGGGAAUCUUCGGCAAUGGACGGAAGUCUGACCGAGCAACGCCGCGUGAGUGAAGAAGGUUUUCGGAUCGUAAAGCUCUGUUGUAAGAGAAGAACGAGUGUGAGAGUGGAAAGUUCACACUGUGACGGUAUCUUACCAGAAAGGGACGGCUAACUACGUG
rnacentral:rRNA from 1 species